rnacentral:rRNA from 1 species
GACGUAGGGCGCAAGCGUUGUCCGGAAUUAUUGGGCGUAAAGAGCUCGUAGGCGGCUUGUCACGUCGGGUGUGAAAGCCCGGGGCUUAACCCCGGGUCUGCAUUCGAUACGGGCUAGCUAGAGUGUGGUAGGGGAGAUCGGAAUUCCUGGUGUAGCGGUGAAAUGCGCAGAUAUCGAGAGGAACACCUGCGGCGAAGGCGGGUUGCUGGGCUGAUACUGACGCUGAGGCGCGAAAGCGUGGGGAGCGAACAGG